rnacentral:rRNA from 1 species
AUUGAACGCUGGCGGCAGGCCUAACACAUGCAAGUCGAACGAGGGGCGGACGUGUGUGUAAUGUCUGGGACACUGCGCUGUGGAGGGGUAUAACUACGGGAAACGGUCGCUAAUACCGCAACCUCUGGUAUGUGCCCAUAUGGGAUUAGCUAGUAGGUGGGGUAACGGCUCACCUAGGCGACGAUCCCUAGCUGGUCUGAGAGGAUGACCAGCCACACUGGAACUGAGACACGGUCCAGACUCCUACGGGAGGCAGCAGUGGGGUAUAUUGCACAAUGGGCGCAAGCCUGAUGCAGCCAUGCCGCGUGUAUGAAGAAGGCCUUCGGGUUGUAAAGUACUUUCAGCGAGGAGGCGUUACUCGCAGAAGAAGCACCGGCUAACUCCGUGCCAGCAGCCGCGGUAAUUC